GUGGGGAAUUUUGGACAAUGGGGGCAACCCUGAUCCAGCCAUGCCGCGUGUGUGAAGAAGGCCUUCGGGUUGUAAAGCACUUUCGGCCGGAACGAAAUCGCGCGGGUGAAUAUCCCGCGUGGAUGACGGUACCGGAAGAAGAAGCACCGGCUAACUACGUGCCAGCAGCCGCGGUAAUACGUAGGGUGCGAGCGUUAAUCGGAAUUACUGGGCGUAAAGUGUGCGCAGGUGGCCGCGCAAGUCGAGUGUGAAAUCCCCGAGCUUAACUUGGGAAUUGCGCUCGAAACUACGUGGCUCGAGUGUGGCAGAGGAAGGUGGAAUUCCACGUGUAGCGGUGAAAUGCGUAGAGAUGUGGAGGAACACCGAUGGCGAAGGCAGCCUUCUGGGCCAACACUGACGCUCAUGCACGAAAGCGUGGGGAGCAAA
rnacentral:rRNA from 1 species